UAUGUGGUAGAUGAAGCCAAGGGUACAAUGAAAAAAUAUGAUCCUAAGGGGGAUUACAGGGAGGAAAUAAUGUAGUCGAAGAAGCUUAUAAGAACACAAAAGAUUGCUGCAGGCAAUGCUAGAGUGUUCGUCGUAUGCAGCGGAAGCAAUAAUACAAGUGGGAUUGCAGCGCUGGAUGUGGUGGUAGUGCCAGUGAGGUUAUGGAUAGUGGAGACGCCUCCGAGAUGUGACGCUAUGGCAAUCCAUAUAUUGCCAAGGAUAAGUCAACCAGACCAACUUGUCUUUAAUCGCCUCUCCAGCGUGAGAUAACACGCAGCGCUGGUUGUUUAAAAUUAGGUUUAAGUGUUAACUUUUUUUCAAGUUUAGGUGUAUGAUAGGUAAAAAAUUUAGUUCAAGUCUCUAUUAAGCAAUGCAAUAUUUCAGGUGUGUAACGAUGUAUUUGGCCAUUAUAAAACUAGUCCACUGCACUUGGAAAAAAAAUACUAUAGCCUCAAAUGCCGAAGGCCAGUCAAACAGAUUGUCACUUACUAUAGGUAAAGGAAAAAUGUUAAAAAGUAAUAGUAGUUUAGUUGUUAUUGUUUCGGGUAGUUG
rnacentral:misc_RNA from 1 species